rnacentral:rRNA from 1 species
AGAGUUUGAUCCUGGCUCAGGACGAACGCUGGCGGCAUGCCUAAUACAUGCAAGUCGAGCGGAGUUGAAUUGAAAGCUUGCUUUCAAUUCAACUUAGCGGCGGACGGGUGAGUAACACGUAGGUAACCUGCCUGUAAGACUGGGAUAACUACCGGAAACGGUAGCUAAUACCGGAUAACUUGUUUCCUCUCAUGAGGAGAUACUGAAAGGCGGAGCAAUCUGCCACUUACAGAUGGGCCUGCGGCGCAUUAUCUAGUUGGUGAGGUAACGGCUCACCAAGGCGACGAUGCGUACCCGACCUGAGAGGGUGAACGGCCACACUGGGACUGAGACACGGCCCAGACUCCUACGGGAGGCAGCAGUAGGGAAUCUUCCGCAGUGGACGAAAGUCUGACGGAGCAACGCCGCGUGAGUGAUGAAGGUUUUCGGAUCGUAAAGCUCUGUUGCCAGGGAAGAACGCUUGGGAGAGUAACUGCUCUCAAGGUGACGGUACCUGAGAAGAAAGCCCCGGCUAACUACGUGCCAGCAGCCGCGGUAAUACGUAGGGGGCAAGCGUUGUCCGGAAUUAUUGGGCGUAAAGCGCGCGCAGGCGGUCAUUUAAGUCUGGUGUUUAAUCCUGGGGCUCAACCCCAUGUCGCACUGGAAACUGGAUGACUUGAGUACAGAAGAGGAGAGUGGAAUUCCACGUGUAGCGGUGAAAUGCGUAUAUAUGUGGAGGAACACCAGUGGCGAGGGCGACUCUCUGGGCUGUAACUGACGCUGACGCGCGAAAGCGUGGGGAGCAAACAGAGAUUAUAUACCCUGGUAGUCCACGCCGUAAACGAUGAGUGCUAGGUGUUAGGGGUUUCGAUACCCUUGGUGCCGAUUUAACACAUUAAGCACUCCGCCUGGGAGAGUACGGUCGCAAGACUGAAACUCAAAGGAAUUGACGG